UGGGGAAUUUUCCGCAAUGGGCGAAAGCCUGACGGAGCAAUACCGCGUGAAGGAAGACGGCCUAUGGGUUGUAAACUUCUUUUUUCAGGGAGGAAUUCAAUGACGUGUACCUGAAGAAUAAGCAUCGGCUAACUCCGUGCCAGCAGCCGCGGUAAGACGGAGGAUGCAAGUGUUAUCCGGAAUCACUGGGCGUAAAGCGUCUGUAGGUUGUUAAACAAGUCAACUGUUAAAUCUUGAGGCUCAACUUCAAAAUCGCAGUCGAAACUGUUUGACUAGAGUAUAGUAGGGGUAAAGGGAAUUUCCAGUGGAGCGGUGAAAUGCGUAGAUAUUGGAAAGAACACCGAUGGCGAAGGCACUUUACUGGGCUAUUACUGACACUCAGAGACGAAAGCUAGGGUAGCAAAUGGGAUUAGAUACCCCAGUAGUCCUAGCCGUAAACAAUGGAUACUAGAUGUUGAACAGAUCGACCUGUGCAGUAUCAAAGCUAACGCGUUAAGUAUCCCGCCUGGGAAGUAUGCUCGCAAGAGUG
rnacentral:rRNA from 1 species